rnacentral:rRNA from 1 species
GAUGAACGCUAGCGGCAGGCUUAAUACAUGCAAGUCGAGGGGUAGCAAGAUUGUAGCAAUACAAUUGUUGACGACCGGCAAACGGGUGCGGAACACGUACACAACCUUCCUACAAGUGGGGAAUAGCCCAGAGAAAUUUGGAUUAAUACCCCGUAACAUAGCGAUGUGGCAUCACAUUGCUAUUAUAGCUUCGGCGCUUGUUGAUGGGUGUGCGGCUGAUUAGAUAGUUGGCGGGGUAGCGGCCCACCAAGUCUACGAUCAGUAGCUGAUGUGAGAGCAUGAUCAGCCACACGGGCACUGAGACACGGGCCCGACUCCUACGGGAGGCAGCAGUAAGGAAUAUUGGACAAUGGACGCAAGUCUGAUCCAGCCAUGCCGCGUGAAGGAUUAAGGUCCUCUGGAUGUAAACCUCUUUUAUAAGGGACGAAAAAAGGUCUUUCUAGAUCGUCUGACGGUACCUUAUGAAUAAGCACCGGCUAACUCCGUGCCAGCAGCCGCGGUAAGAC